UACAGAGGUCUCAAGCGUUGUUCGGAUUCAUUGGGCGUAAAGGGUGCGUAGGCGGCGCGGUAAGUCGGGUGUGAAAUCUCGGAGCUUAACUCCGAAACUGCAUUCGAUACUGCCGUGCUUGAGGACUGGAGAGGAGACUGGAAUUUACGGUGUAGCGGUGAAAUGCGUAGAUAUCGUAAGGAAGACCAGUGGCGAAGGCGGCUCUCUGGACAGUUCCUGACGCUGAGGCACGAAGGUCAGGGGAGCAAACGGG
rnacentral:rRNA from 1 species